AGCCCCGGUCAAGUCUUCAAUGACUGCAGCCCUGGUGACACCCUGACCGCAACCUCAGGAGAGACCUGAGCCCAACCCACCCAGCUAAACCACUGCUGGAUUCCUGACUCUCAGAAACUGUGAGGUGACACAUGUCUGUGGUCUUCAGCUGCUAAAUUUCAGGGAGGACAACCUAAGACCUCGUGAGAGCAACCCUUGGCUGACAGCUAACGAGAAAACAGAACCCUCAGUUCUGUGACUGCAAGGAACCGACUUCUGUAAACACCUGGACAAGUCUGGAGGAAGACGCCAAACUAAGCUGUGGCCAACACCUUGAUUUCAACCACAUGGGACCCUGAGCAUAGAACCCAGCUAUGCUGGCUCCAGACUUUAGAGCCAUGAAAACCGUGAGAUAACAAACAUAGGUUGUUUUAAACCACUGUAUUUGUGGCAAGGGUUUGCAACAAUUAAAAACUAGCACAAAGUUAAAACGCAACAUUUAACUUUUCAAAGUCAAUCAGGAAGCAUAAUAAGGUUCUUUUGACAGACUUCCUUCCCCGUUUGAAGUUAGAGACAAUGGAUCACAAUAACAAAUUUUAAUUCAGUCUCACAUCGAGCUUUAUCCAGAGUAUUGUUGAGUAUCAAGAAUAUCCAGAUUCCCAGAUGCAUAGUUAUUAAUAGCUCAAUUGGCAAAUUCUGGGUGCUCUUCCGUUAUACAGAGCUGAGAAGAGAAGCUUAACAUCAGAGUCCGUCCCAGGGAAAUUUUGCCUGGCAGUCCAAGUUAAUGAUCUGGUGGUCCUGGCUGUGUUAAAUUCGGUCUCCAACAUCUUGAGAGUUGUAGGGAUUUUUAAAAAUUACAGUUUUAAAAAUAGCUAAAACUAUGUUUUUAAAAGAAUUUUAAGUGAAAUAUUUGGGAAAUCUCUGAAGGGCGUCUAUGAAAUCCAGGGCUCAGGAGACAAAGGCAGCAUCCAGAAUUGGCAAUUUACCUGAGGUCUUUCCAGCUGCACCUUUUUUAUUGAUCUGAAAUUACCUUAGUGGGGGCCUUAGCCUUCUUUCACACGAUCUUAGAAGGAGAGUAGGUUACAAGUAUUUAUACACACACGGAUGUGAGUGUGUGUGUGUAUAUAUAUAUGGCGUUCUAUGUGAAUGUAUUCAAAGGAAGCAUUGUAUAUGUAUACAUAUGAGACAUUAUAUAUGUGCAUAUACAUGAGGCUUUGUGUGUGUGUGUGUGUGUAUCUAUGGCAUUAUCGCUGUGUAUGUAUUUCUGGAAAGGGAGUAGGGGUGGAGCUAAGGGCACUGAGGAAUACAGGCCAAUGUGUGUAUAUAUAGAAAAUAAUUUGAGAAUGUAUAUACAAUUAUUUGAGAAUUUAAUAGUUACUGUCUUUAAGUUAAACUUUAAUCCUCUGCUGAGUUUUUAUUUUCUAUCCAGUGAAGGAGAUCCUCUCACCACCGGGGACAAAGAGGUUUGGUGUCUGUCAAGCCUGCCCUGGAACUCUGAUUCCAGUUGUGCAAAGAGACACGGUCUAGAACAGAGUUUUCAACCCCAGCCCUGUUGACACUUGGGGUCAGAUAAUGUCUCAUGCGUUGUAGGAUGUUUAGCAGCAUCCCUGGCCUCUACCCACCAGAUUCCAGUAGCAGCCCCUCAAACCGCUCCAAGUCAUGAUAACCGAGAUGCCCCCUGGGGCACUGCCCCAGUCAAGAGCUCUGCUCUGGAGGGACCCGGCUUCAGGCACAGAGCAGCUGUUCCCGAAAUAACGUUUCUUCUUCUUUUAGGCUUCUGCCACCUGGCACUCAGUAUUCAGGGAUCUUCAGUCCUCUCAAGCAGGAAAAUUUUGUGGAACUCUAGACUGCAGUAGACAUAAUCCAGAAAUUAUAAAUUUUUAAAGAUCCCCGUUUCAGAAAUGGGGAAACUGAGACCCAG
rnacentral:lncRNA from 1 species